UGGGGAAUCUUGGACAAUGGGCGCAAGCCUGAUCCAGCCAUGCCGCGUGAGUGAAGAAGGCCUUAGGGUUGUAAAGCUCUUUUUACCAGGGACGAUAAUGACGGUACCUGGAGAAUAAGCCCCGGCAAACUUCGUGCCAGCAGCCGCGGUAAUACGAAGGGGGCUAGCGUUGUUCGGAAUUACUGGGCGUAAAGCGCACGUAGGCGGGUCGUUAAGUCAGGGGUGAAAUCCCGGGGCUCAACCUCGGAACUGCCUUUGAUACUGCGGAUCUCGAGUCCGAUAGAGGUGAGUGGAAUUCCUAGUGUAGAGGUGAAAUUCGUAGAUAUUAGGAAGAACACCGGUGGCGAAGGCGGCUCACUGGAUCGGUACUGACGCUGAGGUGCGAAAGCGUGGGGAGCAAACAGGAUUAGAUACCCCCGUAGUCCCUGAGCGGGCUGGCAAGGCGCAU
rnacentral:rRNA from 1 species